rnacentral:tRNA from 1 species
GCCUGGGUGGCUCAGUCGGUGAAGCGUCCGACUUCGGCUCAGGUCGUGAUCUCACAGUUUGUGGGUUCGAGCCCCGCGUCGGGCU